rnacentral:rRNA from 1 species
ACGCUCGACACCUACGGGGGGCAGCAGUAGGGAAUCUUCCACAAUGGGCGGCAAGCCUGAUGGAGCAACACCGCGUGAGUGAAGAAGGGUUUCGGCUCGUAAAGCUCUGUUGUUGGAGAAGAACGUGCGUGAGAGUAACUGUUCACGCAGUGACGGUAUCCAACCAGAAAGUCACGGCUAACUACGUGCCAGUAGCCGCGGUAAUCUGAGCGGGCUGGCAAGGC